CAACGAGUUCCAUGGCUGAAAAAUGUAGUAGCGGUCGAGGAUGAGAUGGGGUUAAUCAUUUACUCAGCAUCCUGCAGUGCCCAUAAGCUGACAAACUAUCAAGUGACUGGAGCUCCAGUCUCAAGUGAAAAGAGCCAUUAAUUUCGCAACUGCCUUUUAAUUAGUCAAAGUUUUCUUUGCGAGCACAAAGACAAAGGCAGCUUAACCCAUCAACUUGGACAUUCCAUUCAAAUCGUAUGGCACAAACAAAUUAUCCUCUUCAACAUUCCAGUUGGCUGUCGAAGACAUUUUUGGGCCCAAAAUCGAUAGCUUUGCCCAUUCGCAACCACUUACCUGUUGAACCAGUCGUCGGUGUAUCGGGGAUAUGGAAAGGGAUCGUUACUGCUGAAGUCAUAACUGGCCUCGGCAUUCUGGAAAUGAGCAGAUGUAACCAGAUUAAAUGCGAGCUCACACGUGUGUGUGCGACCACCUCAACUCAACUCACUCGACCCGCUUGCAUAUGCAUGGCAGAUAAGCACUUUGACAAUAAUAAUGAUGGUGGAAAGUUUUAGUGUCAGGAAAAGUUUAAGCUUUUAGCUUCAAUUUCCUGCCAACUUUUACUAUUAUGCACAUUAGGGAUUUCAACAGUCCGUUGUGGAGCAGCUCCACAGAUAAAUUAAAUUGCAGACAUAGAGCCACAACAACUGUUGGCUAUUUGGCCAUGAAUAAUUCCUCAUUGGCAACCGAUAUGUGCAGUCAGCCAAAAUUUAAUUAAAUGCUCGCUAGUGCCAUUUAAAAGGGCUUUGCAGCCAUUGCGCGUGUGGAUUAUACUCACAUAAUUGAAUUUCAGAUCCGGAUGCAUGUAGUCCACGCCUGGGCAGAGAAAACGCCGCAAUAAAGUGUAAAAGUGUAGGAUAAUAAACUGGUAGAUUGAAUUUUUAUUUUCAUUUCCGAAAAUACUCACCAUCAUCCAUGAUGGCAGUCGUAACAUUCUUUCCGGUGAUGCCCUGCGCCCAUGCAGCCUGUACAUUCAGAUCCAGCCUGACUUUGCCGCCAUUCUGGCCCGUGUUCUUGAGGUACCACUGCAUGGGAAAGUAGGGGUCAGUGGGCUCCUCGUCAAUCCGAUUGGCCUCGCCCACUUUCAGGUCGAACUUCAUGCCGUGAAUGGCGGGCACCGCCGGUCGCAGGCCUCGUUUAACCCGCUUGAAACCCGGCUGUUGCACGGCCGUAUGCAC